rnacentral:lncRNA from 1 species
AUUUAUCAAAUAAAAAUUUAAUGUUUAAAUAAAUUUCUUAUUUUGACAUACUAUAAAACUUAUAUUUUAUUUAUGCUUAUGACUUAUUUUUUACUUUUGCUUAUGAAAAACUUAUGGUCACCAUUGUGGCCAUCAGAAGUUACUGCUGUCUGCAUUGAUAGCCACAUAAAAAUUUUUCUUGAGAAUUCCUUCCCUAGAAAUUCCAAUAUUAUAUAUAUACUUCUUUCAAAUUGGAUGAUGAUAACCCAAAAUAUUGGGUUGUUAAAUGAUAACCCAAAAAAACAAGGAACAAUUUAAUUUAAC